UUUUUCAGUUGCACCUAAAAUUUACAUUAAAGACACAAAAAGAUUUUUAAAGAAAGGAUUUUCGGUCCUAAACUGUACGUUAACGCAGAAAUAUGUCCCACAAGAAGUAACCUUCAAAUGGUACAUUUGCCAAUCUGAUAUCUGUGAUGAAGAUAUGAACGAGAGAAAAUAUAUUUUACCCAACUAUUCUUUAACAGUAAAGAUAGAGGGCAGGUAUCGCUGUACUGCCAACAAUAGCGGUGGAAUAGAUACGUCAUCAAUAAUAUCAGUUGUCAAAGAAUCCAAACAAACAGAGAAGACCCGAAAAGCAACCCUGGAGCCAGUUACACGAAGCCUGGAUAGCGUUAUACCGGACACUUAACCUGCAAAGACGCCUCAGUGGCGCUAGAUCAAGGGCUGGGGCUUUCCCCUUCUUCAGUGGAACCAGCUCCGAAGCCACGACAAAAAAACAGUAAAAAACUCAACGUUGUUAUAAAAUGAUACCUAGCGCAAUAAUGGCGCGCUAAACGAAACAUACUUUUUUGCAUAGUUUGCAAGUGUUAGUUACAAAUGCAAUUAUGUGUAUGCUAACUAUACAACAAUCCACUUUAUUUUAGGAUUUGGAAGAUAAUGAAAAAAAUAAGAAAAUUAGAAAAGUCACUGAAAGUUUCGAAGAUGGAGGCAGAAAUUCGAUUUUUCAAUGGAAGUAAAGUGGAAAAGAUUCCAAUGACUUAAUUUACUUUACGUAGUAAAAAUUCCCAACACUAGAUUUAUCUACAAAACUAUCCUAACACUGCAAUAUAUAAGAGAUGGAAGUUUUAUGAAAAUUUUUUAAUAGCUUAUAAGCAUUAUCAUGCAAAAAUGAAAUUUAAAUAAUUGCGUGUGCGAUAGUUAAUUUAAUUUUAUGUUAUGAGCAACAAACCCAUAGAAGAUCUCAAUUUUACAUUGCACGUUCUAUCCUUUCCUUAAUCAAGUAGCAUUUGCAAAGCCAAUAACUCUCAAUGGCAAAAACUUUUUCCCUACCAAAAAUUUUAAUAAAUAUACAUAUUGUUGGUCA